UACAGAGGGGGCAAGCGUUGUUCGGAAUUACUGGGCGUAAAGGGCGCGUAGGCGGCCUUCUAAGUCGAACGUGAAAUCCCCGGGCUCAACCCGGGAACUGCGUCCGAUACUGGGAGGCUUGAAUCCGGGAGAGGGAUGUGGAAUUCCUGGUGUAGCGGUGGAAUGCGCAGAUAUCAGGAGGAACACCGAUAGCGAAGGCAGCUCGCUGGGACGGUACUGGACGCUGAGGUGCGAAAGCGUGGGGGAGCGAACAGGAUUAG
rnacentral:rRNA from 1 species